rnacentral:rRNA from 1 species
UACGGAGGGAGCUAGCGUUGUUCGGAAUUACUGGGCGUAAAGCGCGCGUAGGCGGCUUGAUAAGUCAGGGGUGAAAUCCCGGGGCUCAACCCCGGAACUGCCUUUGAAACUAUCGAGCUGGAAUCUUGGAGAGGCGAGUGGAAUUCCGAGUGUAGAGGUGAAAUUCGUAGAUAUUCGGAAGAACACCAGUGGCGAAGGCGACUCGCUGGACAAGUAUUGACGCUGAGGUGCGAAAGCGUGGGGAGCAAAUAGG